rnacentral:rRNA from 1 species
GACGUAGGGCGCGAGCGUUGUCCGGAUUUAUUGGGCGUAAAGAGCUCGUAGGCGGCUUGUCGCGUCGACUGUGAAAACCCGAGGCUCAACUUCGGGCUUGCAGUCGAUACGGGCAGGCUAGAGUUCGGUAGGGGAGACUGGAAUUCCUGGUGUAGCGGUGAAAUGCGCAGAUAUCAGGAGGAACACCGGUGGCGAAGGCGGGUCUCUGGGCCGAUAUUGACGCUGAGGAGCGAAAGCGUGGGGAGCGAACAGG